GAUGAACGCUGGCGGCGUGCUUAACACAUGCAAGUCGAACGAUGAAAGCGGGAGCUUGCUCCUGCUGGAUUAGUGGCGAACGGGUGAGUAACACGUGAGGAACCUGCCCCGAAGACCGGGAUAACCCUCCGAAAGGAGAGCUAAUACCGGAUGCCCCCACCGAGCCGCAUGGCUUGGUGAGGAAAUGGAUUCCGCUUCGGGAGGGCCUCGCGGCCUAUCAGCUAGUUGGUGGGGUAACGGCCCACCAAGGCAUCGACGGGUAGCUGGUCUGAGAGGACGAUCAGCCACACUGGGACUGAGACACGGCCCAGACUCCUACGGGAGGCAGCAGUGGGGAAUCUUGCGCAAUGGGCGAAAGCCUGACGCAGCAACGCCGCGUGGGGGAUGAAGGCUCUCGGGUUGUAAACCCCUUUCAGCAGGGACGAAUCAAGACGGUACCUGCAGAAGAAGCCCCGGCUAACUACGUGCCAGCCGCCGCCGUAAUAC
rnacentral:rRNA from 1 species